rnacentral:rRNA from 1 species
AGUGAACGCUAGCGGCGCGCCUAAUACAUGCAAGUCGAGCGAACAGAUGAAGUGCUUGCACUUCUGACGUUAGCGGCGAACGGGUGAGUAACACGUAAGGAAUCUACCUAUAAGCGGGGGAUAACAUUCGGAAACGGGUGCUAAUACCGCAUAAUAUCUUCUUCCGCAUGGAAGGAGAUUGAAAGACGGCUCUGCUGUCACUUAUAGAUGACCUUGCGGUGCAUUAGUUAGUUGGUGGGGUAACGGCCUACCAAGACGAUGAUGCAUAGCCGACCUGAGAGGGUGAUCGGCCACAUUGGGACUGAGACACGGCCCAAACUCCUACGGGAGGCAGCAGUAGGGAAUCUUCCGCAAUGGGCGAAAGCCUGACGGAGCAAUGCCGCGUGAGUGAAGAAGGCCUUCGGGUCGUAAAACUCUGUUAUAAGAGAAGAACAAAUUGUAGAGUAACUGCUACAGUCUUGACGGUAUCUUAUCAGAAAGCCACGGCUAACUACGUGCCAGCCGCCGCAGUAA